GUGCCGAACCGGCCCGCCGCACCCGGGUUGCGGGGUGGCUGAGGCUGGUGUGCCGCGGGGCCCGGGCCGCGUUUGCGGGAGCUUUUGUCAGCGGGCGCCCGCCGGCGGGGCUCCCGUGAAGGCGACGGGCGCCCGAGCGCCCCCGGCAGCGGCUGGCGGCGGGGCGGUAGCGGGGUCUGGCCGUGUGCGGCAGCUUCGUGGCUUCCGGGCUGUACGUCCGCGCCUCAGCCUCCGGUGUGGGCGCGGUAGCUGGGGCCGCCGAGUGUAUCCCCGCGGCGCCGGGUGGCUGUGCGGCCCCCGCUGGCUGCCUCCCCGGCGGCGGGGCCGAGCCGCCCGGCCUGCGGCGUGCUGCGCAGCCUCCAAGCCGCGCCUCCGUGCAAGCGCAUGCCCGUUUCAGCAGCAGAGUGACUUCUGAUGUCCUCUUUUUCACAGGAAUUAUUUGUGCCCCCUACUGUUUAAGAAAUCCAAUCCUGACAGUUCAAAGCAAUAUAAUCGGAAACUGUUAAGGGAUGGACUGCUGGCACUUUUUCUAAACGGUGCAAGCCAUCGCUUUACAGACAGGCAGGAAGUGAAGAAAUGAGUUUGUUACUGGCUUUGGGAAUCUUCCGUCUGGACUCUGCCACACUGUUACCUUGCAAGCAGAAAGGUGUCACAUGAACUCUGGAGCUAUGGAAGUGUUAUGACAUCAGAUGACCCACUGGCUUCGAGCCUUGUGUAGGCACCAUACAACCAACAGUAGACUCCGUCCACUUCUAGAACUUGAAAACAGCAUCCUGAAAUGCGGAAUUCUAAUGCACUUGGAAAUGCUUUCAUGGCCCUGCCAGCUCCUCAGAAAUACUGCUUGAUUCAGCAGUAAGGCAGGAGAGUAGCUGUUCAGUAAAAAUACGUAAAUAAAGCUCUAAUGAAGUUCAGGGGAGAGUGUUACUUUAGAAGGGGAAGUGGCCUUGUGGACACUUUGAACUUAGUAUGAAUAUUUGUGUACCAAUUGAUCAAAAUUGAAUAAAUCAAGGGUUAAAACUUG